rnacentral:lncRNA from 1 species
UUGGAAGGGGAGCAGGGGAGCUUGGCUGGAAGCUGGAGACCUGUGCUCGCUCUCAGCAAUUGAAUUCACUAACAAGCCAGAAGUGAAUUAACCCCAACCUGCCAGGUGCAGAGCAAAACCUGGAGGCCCAACUCCCAGGCCCAGCCAGGUGCUGCUCAGCUGGGAGUCCCUUCCAGGGUUGGCUGGCACCUGCAAAGAAUCCAGAAAGAUUAAGCCAAAACCCAGGAGGAUAUCUGAAGAGUUAAGGAAA